UCAAAGUAACAUGAUCAAUCAUAACCAACUAAAAAUACAUCUAUGAAGCCUCUACUAGAGUGCUAAGAGGAAUGCACAGGACAUAGAUUUCCUGGCUAAUCCCUAAAGCAAGUACUGAAAAAGAAUUAAGUGAAUGAAGUUGAUGAAAGAAAGGAAACUCCACGAUCAAGAGCGGAGCUCACCAAUCAGUUUCUGGAAUAAAACGGCCUAGCUUGUAGUCUGCCCAUCUAUAUUACCUGCACCUACAUUGACAUAAGUCAAUAUAGGUUCCACAAAGAGAACGUCAGUACACCACUAGCGGUACUCAGUCAGUCUCAACAUUCCCCAUUAAAAACAAGUCAACAUUCCUUAUGGAGCAUAUUACAGAGUAAAGCAAGAGAACAAUCACCAAAACUUUUAGCUUAGUUAAUUAGUUUAUUCUUUUCGCUUUCUUUAAAUAGAUUCAGUAGAUUGAACAUUUUAGUUAUGUCCACUGUGGUAAUUACUAACUCUUUAUACGGUUACUCGUGGCCCUUUAUACAACCACUAAAUUUGUGCCUCAUUGUGAAAAUCAUGGCAACCCUUUGUACGGCUGCUUGUGACCCUUUAUACGGUCACCAUUCAGGUAUGUCAAAUCAUGGCAAGUCAGUAACCCUUUAUACGGCUACUGGUAACCCUUUGUACGGUUACUAAGUUAUUUAAGUUCGCUUUAAAGUUUCAACAAGUUGCUUUACCCUGAUCAUGAUCUAAGGGAGUACAUUAUGGUUAUUACCAACAUGAAAUAAAAUCACACAAAAUUUUAGAUGGAAGAUGUUUUCUCUGCUCGAUCAUGUUUCCAGAGAACAGUGACUGUUUUGGAACAUUAAACUUAAGAAUAUCAUUGCUUUUGGUUUGUCAACUAUGAAAGUUAAUUUUCAGGACAUGAGUUACUGCAAUGUAGUGAUUACCACUUUAAUUUGAUAAAUCUAAAGAGAAAAUAGAGGGCACAAGGUAACUAACUCAACAAAGGCAAUGAGAACUCACUCGUUCCAAUUAAACUCACAUUAGCAUUUUAGAAGCAUUUUGUCAAACACCUUAUAGAUAUGACUUUGUAAGAAAAGACUUUAGUAAGAGCAAGUCUUAACUCACCUCAAGAUACUUCACUGCUAGCAAGGUUAACUUCUACCUUUUACCAAUGACAAUCAACAAUUUAAUCCUUUGUUUACGAGAGACAAGAGCAGCAGAAGUUACCAAGGGCAAAUUAAAACUAACCCCUGUAACCUUUUUUUUCGUUCUCUGUUAGCAGCCACGAAGCCACACGUUGUAUGCAGUAACUUUGUAGGCUCGACCCGUAUAUAUUAUCUUUUUCUCAAAUAAAUAAUUCAUACUAUUAAACUGACCAGCUAAACACAUACAACAUGCCUCUAAUUAUAAUGACUAAAACUCUCACUUAUAAAUUAAUGCCUUCAGUGUGUGUACACAUUACACAUAUAUUCAAUAAUU
rnacentral:lncRNA from 1 species